AUUGAACGCUGGCGGCAGGCCUAACACAUGCAAGUCGAACGGUAACAGGAAGCAGCUUGCUGCUUUGCUGACGAGUGGCGGACGGGUGAGUAAUGUCUGGGAAACUGCCUGAUGGAGGGGGAUAACUACUGGAAACGGUAGCUAAUACCGCAUAACGUCGCAAGACCAAAGAGGGGGACCUUCGGGCCUCUUGCCAUCGGAUGUGCCCAGAUGGGAUUAGCUAGUAGGUGGGGUAACGGCUCACCUAGGCGACGAUCCGUAGCUGGUCUGAGAGGAUGACCAGCCACACUGGAACUGAGACAGGGUCCAGACUCCUACGGGAGGCAGCAGUGGGGAAUAUUGCACAAUGGGCGCAAGCCUGAUGCAGCCAUGCCGCGUGUAUGAAGAAGGCCUUCGGGUUGUAAAGUACUUUCAGCGGGGAGGAAGGGAGUAAAGUUAAUACCUUUGCUCAUUGACGUUACCCGCAGAAGAAGCACCGGCUAACUCCGUG
rnacentral:rRNA from 1 species